rnacentral:tRNA from 1 species
GCGGAUAUGACGGAAUUGGCAGACGUGCAGGAUUUAGGUUCCUGUGUCGCAGGACGUGUGGGUUCAAAUCCCACUAUCCGCA